rnacentral:rRNA from 1 species
GAGGCAACAAAGAAAGAGCUAAGCGAUCUAGUAGAGUUCAUUUAUUGAAGGUGUUCACCUUUUGUGUGAUUAUCAGUUCACGUUUGGUGUGAUUUUCUGUUCAGCAGGCUUACUAUUUCAUCGUCAGGAUGCAGCAAAAAAGCAAGAUUCACAAGUUCAUCUUCUGGAUGCUUUUCAGUACAUCUACUUCCCGCUGGAGCGCCCUGGCCGAUCACAGCCACCACAGCAGGCCGUUCAACACCACCUCCGCAGGCGGUUCAUCGCAAAAACAGCAACCUGAUUCCCGCUGGUUCUCACCAGCAACGCCCAUUCGAGCACAUCAUCGCUCUCCUGCUGCAGCGUGGCUCAGCUACUGCACUUGGUGGAGUACAUGAAUUGGACUGACGAGGAAGAUGCAUUCUGGGUAUAUCAAAGCCUGCUGGAGGAGUCACGGGGUCGAGGACCUCCUGCUUAAUAGUACAACUUCUUGUUUUGUGACCGGUUGCUCAAGGAGCUGAGUGCAGGCCGCAGAAAAACAUUUGUCGGGUUUUUGGUGGCCAAGUAUUAUUGAUAUGGAGAUGAAUAACUAUGUGGAUGCGCUCCUAUUGUUUUUCUGGAAAAAACAAGAUGCCAUGUUUUACUUUAUGAGCUUUCCAAUUUGCAUACUUCAAAGUUGUUGCUUGCUCCCACCCGUGAAUUGCGCAAUUUCAAUGGGUGUCGUCGAGCAUGUUCGGAAGUAUGCCCUUCGUGCAAAAGUGUGAAGUUUUGUCAGUAUUUUGUAUAUUUCAUUUGACAAAGGCUUCAUGUGAUCUUAUGAAGCUUUAUAGAUGUACUGCCAUUACACUUUUAAGGCCAUACAGUUCAUUAUAUCAUACAUGUGUGGCAGUUCAAUAUGUAUUACAUGAUCAGUUCUUGGAAAAGAAGAACACAAUAGUUCGGUCGAAAACAAUGAUCAGUUCGAUAGUGCUCUCUCCUGC